rnacentral:rRNA from 1 species
ACAAAGUGACAGGUGGUGCAUGGUUGUCGUCAGCUCGUGUCGUGAGAUGUUGGGUUAAGUCCCGCAGCGAGCGCAACCCUUAAGCUUAGUUGCCAUCAUUAAGUUGGGCACUCUAGGUUGACUGCCGGUGACAAACCGGAGGAAGGUGGGGAUGACGUCAAAUCAUCAUGCCCCUUAUGAUUUGGGCUACACACGUGCUACAAUGGACAAUACAAAGGGCAGCUAAACCGCGAGGUCAUGCAAAUCCCAUAAAGUCGUUCUCAGUUCGGAUUGUAGUCUGCAACUCGACUACAUGAAGCUGGAAUCGCUAGUAAUCGUAGAUCAGCAUGCUACGGUGAAUACGUUCCCGGGUCUUGUACACACCGCCCGUCACACCACGAGAGUUUGUAACACCCGAAGCCGGUGGAGUAACCAUUUAUGGAGCUAGCCGUCGAAGGUGGGACAAAUGAUUGGGGUGAAGUCGUAACAAGGUAGCCGUAUCGGAAGGUGCGGCUGGAUCACCUC